UACGUAGGGUGCAAGCGUUGCCCGGAUUUAUUGGGCGUAAAGGGCGCGUAGGCGGCUCGGCACGUCCGUUUGUGAAAUCGCCCGGCUCAACUGGGCGGGGUCGGCGGAUACGGCCGAGCUGGAGCAAGCUAGGGGGUAAUGGAAUUCCCGGUGUAGUGGUGGAAUGCGUAGAUAUCGGGGAGGAACACCAGUGGCGAAGGCGGUUACCUGGAGCUUUGCUGACGCUGAUGCGCGAAAGCGUGGGGGAGCGAUCCGG
rnacentral:rRNA from 1 species